GGGAGGCUGCAAGGGGCUAGCCAAUCAGUGGGUUUCAGGCUAGUAUAAAAGAAGCCACAGCGCAGCCCAGAGUUAGUCAGCUCAGUGCUACUGGGAGUGAGAGUAAGCUCCUGGCUGGCUGCUGGGCCUGAAUGUAGAACACCCCUGAGCUGCCUGAAACAAAUCCUUAGUAUCAGAUGGCCAGAAAAAUCACAAAUGAAGCGCUUUGGAGGAGGAUGGAACAGAAACAAACAGGAGAAGAAAUUAUGGAAUGAAAAUGGAGUUGGCCAGAAUACACAUGGAGGAAAGAUCUGAAGACCAUAACAAGACGAGCAUUAGACUGAAAUCCUCAGGGUUAGAGGGGCCAAGGUUGACCAAGGGCAACAUGGAAACACACAACUGAAGCAGAAUUAAAAGCUAAGAUUGCAGCAAGAGCUCAUUGAAGAGGGAAGGCACUAGUGAAGGCCUUGUGCUCUGUAUGGAAUAAAGAAGGAUGCAGCCAUGUGUUCCAUGUAGGUGAUUCACAAGCAGGACCCACAGGAGGUGGGGCUCAGAGUCUAUUUAAACAAGGAUUGCAGGAUUGCCUUCCCAACAUUUGCAUCUCAGCGGGAUGCCGUGGCAAUGGUAUUGUUCAUAACCAUGUACAGAGCACCAAGUGGCUGCCUUGCAAAUGUUCAAAAUGGGAACCAACUUCUGCUGGUGCGAGAGACAAGCCGUGAAACUUACACUGACAGGGAUGGAGCAGGGCCACCUUUAUAUGGCCAGGGGAGGGGCUAAGACCACAAGUGCCGCCCUUAUGGGGUACUGCGAGACAAAAGUUCUCUGGCUCCAGCAUGCUGGGCUCCUACACGCACACCUACCAGGAAUCUGCAUCUACUCAAAGAAGAAAUUGUCUCCUCUAAGGUUGAGAUUUUAAUUGUGUGGGUCUAGAUUGUGGCUUUUAUGACAUAGCCCUGUGAAAGGAGCAGUGCACAGCCCCACCAUGUGCAGAGGAGCACUAGGGGAUUGUGCAUUAGAGAUGCAAAAAUCUCUCCCAGGGCUGUUCCCUGUCCCAAGAGGAUGAGUAAUCUGUUCCAUCCAUUAAAAUGGAGUUCAUUGCCUCCCUGGGAUGCCAGCCCCAUUAAAACCUUAAUCAGUGCCUCUCCAUAAUUAAAUUUUUCAUUUUUGUGCUUUAACCCAUCUGAUUACAUCAAGAUGAUUUUUACAAAGUUCCUGAAAAGCAGCGAUCAUUAAUAUAAAUAAACUGUCUACUACUGUGAAUGAGUGUCCAUCGUUAUGGUUGACAAUAAUCCCGGUGGUUGCACAUUCUUCCAUGCACCUACCAUUAGAGUAGCACUAAACACUGAUGUCACGGAGAUGAGUGCUGCAUACCCACAUGUGCUUCAUGUGCAUGCACCUGCUGCUCUGGUAUCAUCACGAGUGACA